rnacentral:rRNA from 1 species
UACGGGGGGUGCGAGCGUUGUCCGGAAUCACUGGGCGUAAAGGGCGCGUAGGCGGCCACCGCAAGUCGACUGUGAAAAUCUCCGGGCUUAACCCGGAAAGGUCAGCCGAUACUGCGGGGCUAGAGUGCAGAAGGGGCAACUGGGAAUUCUCGGUGUAGCGGUGAAAUGCGUAGGAUAAUCGAGAGGAACACCUGCGGCGAAGGCGGGUUGCUGGGCUGACACGUGACGCUGAUGCGCGAAAGCUAGGGGAGCGAACGGG